UACCUGCAGCUCGGGUGGUAACCGCUAUUAUUGGGCCUAAAGCGUCCGUAGCCGGUUUGGUAAAUAUCUGGGUAAAUCGUGAGGCUUAACUUCACGAAUUUCGGAUAGACUGCCAGACUUGGGAUCGGGGGAGGUCAGAGGUACUCCAGGGGUAGCGGUGAAAUGUUGUAAUCCUUGGAGGACCACCGGUAGCGAAGGCGUCUGACUAGAACGAGUCCGACGGUGAGGGACGAAGCCCUGGGGCGCAAACCGGAUUAGAUACCCGGGUAGUCCAGGGUGUAAACUAUGUGGGCUUCGUAUUGGAGGUCCCACGUGGGCGUCCAGUGCAGAAGAGAAGUUGUUAAGCCCACCGCCUGGGAAGUACGGUCGCAAGGCUGAAACUUAAAGGAAUUGGCGGGGGAGCACAGCAACGGGAGGAGCGUGCGGUUU
rnacentral:rRNA from 1 species